rnacentral:rRNA from 1 species
GACGAACCGUACGAACGUUAUUCGGAAUCACUGGGCUUAAAGGGUGCGUAGGCGGCGCUGCAAGUUGGGUGUGAAAUCCCUCGGCUCAACCGAGGAACUGCAUUCAAAACUACAGUGCUUGAGGGAGACAGAGGUGAGCGGAACUUAGGGUGGAGCGGUGAAAUGCGUUGAUAUCCUAAGGAACACCCGUGGCGAAAGCGGCUCACUGGGUCUCUUCUGACGCUGAGGCACGAAAGCUAGGGGAGCGAACGGG